rnacentral:snoRNA from 1 species
GCUGCUGCUGCUGCUGCUGCUGCUGCGGCUGCGGUGUUGCUGCAGCAGCAGCAGCAGAAAGCGGAAGAAAAGGAUAAAAAUAGACGCUUUAUUGUAAAUAAUAUAAUUUAUUCUUUUUAUUAUUUAUUUAUU